CGCGUAGGCGGGAACUCAAGUCAGGUGUGAAAACUAUGGGCUUAACCCAUAGACUGCACUUGAAACUGGGUUUCUUGAGGGCAGGAGAGGAAAGUGGAAUUCCUAGUGUAGCGGUGAAAUGCGUAGAUAUUAGGAGGAACACCAGUGGCGAAGGCGACUUUCUGGACUGUACCUGACGCUGAGGCGCGAAAGCGUGGGGAGCGAACA
rnacentral:rRNA from 1 species